CACGCCCUAAACGAUGACAACUGGAUGUCGGGAGGGUUUGCCUUCCGGUGUCGUAGCUAACGCGUUAAGUUGUCCGCCUGGGAAGUACGGCCGCAAGGUUGAAACUCAAAGGAAUUGACG
rnacentral:rRNA from 1 species